GACAUUUAUGUAUGUCCAGAAGAGGAGUCAGUCCUGAUGAGCUCAUUCGUCUCCACCCUGUCUGCUCUAUCAAUCAAACAAGUGGAAACAAAGAGGAGUUUGACCUCAGAGCAAUUAGACUGGACUGGUUGAGAUUGCAGGCCUACACAAGUGUGAACAAGGCCAAUCUUCCACUAAAGGACUACACUGAUUAGCGAAGGUGAUGAAACUGAUUCAGUUUCA